rnacentral:rRNA from 1 species
AGAGUUUGAUCACUCCGGCUCAGGACGAACGCUGGCGGCGUGCCUAAUGCAUGCAAGUCGAACGCAGCAGGCGUGCCUGGCUGCGUGGCGAACGGCUGAGGAACACGUGGGUGACCUGCCCCGGAGUGGGGGAUACCCCGUCGAAAGACGGGACAAUCCCGCAUACGCUCGACGGAGGAAAGCCGCAAGGCGCUCUGGGAGGGGCCUGCGGCCCAUCAGGUAGUUGGUGUGGUAACGGCGCACCAAGCCAAUGACGGGUACCCGGUCUGAGAGGACGACCGGGCAGACUGGGACUGAGAGACGGCCCAGACUCCUACGGGAGGCAGCAGCAAGGAAUUUUCCCCAAUGGGCGCAAGCCUGAGGGAGCAACGCCGCGUGGAGGACGACGGCCUUCGGGUUGUAAACUCCUUUCGGGUGGGACGAUGCUGACGGUACCACCAGAAGCAGCCCCGGCUAACUCUGUGCCAGCAGCCGCGGUAAGACAGAGGGGGCAAGCGUUGUCCGGAGUUACUGGGCGUAAAGGGCGCGCAGGCGGUGGGCUGCGUCGGCGCUGAAAGCGCCCCGCUUUACGGGGCGAGGCGCGCCGAUACGAGUCCACUCGAGGCAAGCAGAGGGUGGCGGAAUUCCGGGGUGGAGCGGUGAAAUGCGUAUAGAUCCGGAGGAACGCCGGUGGGGGAAAGCCGGGCACUUGGGCUUGACCUGACGCUGCGGGCGCGACAGCGCGGGGGAGCAAAUCGGGAUUAGAUACCCCGGGGUAGUCCACGUCCCUAAACGAUGUCCGACUAGUCGUUUGGUGGAGAAAUCCAUUAGUGACGCAGCUAACGCGUGAAGUCGACCGCCUGGGGAGUACGGCCGCAAGGUUAAAACUCAAAGGAAUUGACGGGGGCCCGCACAAGCGGUGGAUGAUGUGGAUUAAUUCGAUGCAACGCGAAAAACCUUACCUACCCUUGACAUGGCAGGAAUCCUCCAGAGAUGGGGGAGUGCCCGAAAGGGAACCUGCACACAGGUGCUGCAUGGCUGUCGUCAGCUCGUGUCGUGAGAUGUUGGGUUAAGUCCCGCAACGAGCGCAACCCUUGCCAUUAGUUGCUACAUUUAGUUGGGCACUCUAAUGGGACUGCCGGUGACAAACCGGAGGAAGGUGGGGAUGACGUCAAGUCCUCAUGGCCCUUAUGGGUAGGGCUUCACACGUCAUACAAUGGUCGGUACAGAGGGUCGCCAACCCGCGAGGGGGAGCCAAUCCCAGAAAGCCGAUCGUAGUCCGGAUUGCAGUCUGCAACUCGACUGCAUGAAGUCGGAAUCGCUAGUAAUCGCGGAUCAGCAUGUCGCGGUGAAUACGUUCCCGGGCCUUGUACACACCGCCCGUCACACCAUGGGAGUGG